GCGCUUGCUUCGGCAGCACAUACACUAAAAUUGGAACGAUACAGAGAGAUUAGCAUGGCCCCUGCACAAGGAUGACACGCAAAUUCAUGACACGUUCCAUAUUUUA